AUUAUUUUAAUUAAAUAAUUAAAAAAAUAAUUAUGAUAAAAAAAAAUUAUGAUAAAAAAAUAAAAUUCAUCUUAAAAAUAAUUAAUAAUUUGUAUAAAAUGAAAAUUAUUAUUUAAUAUUUAUAAAACUUUUAUUGUUAAUAUUUUUAUAAAAUAAUUCUAUAAAUUAUAAAAAAUAUAAUUUUUUAGAAAUUAAAAAAAUUAAUACUAAAAUCUACUUUUAAAUAAAA
rnacentral:tRNA from 1 species